UAUGGGCUAAGAUAACUUCAGAAACCAAAAACAAGCCUAUUCUUUUUCAUGAGUUCAGGUAACCUAUAAGAUCACAUAAAAGAAAAAUAGAAUUUUCUAUUACUUCUGAACUAAGAAUUUUAGAGAAAUUUAGAAAUUAUUUUUAAGAAAACAUGAGAAUUAAUUAUUGAAAUUAGUCCCAAAUUAAGCAAAAGUUGUUGUCAUAAUACGUUGAGAAGCACACAUGUCUGUCCUCUGACUGAUGAGGCAAUUAAAACCAAUUUUGGUGAAUAAGGUCAAUUAUAACAGGGUAGGAGACUACAGUUGCCAAAAUCUGGGGAAGCUCAGUAAAAAGACAGAAACUGAGAAAAUUCUAACUCUUUAAAAAUCAGCCAUUUUUGCCCAAGAGGAUGCAAGUUGAAAACGUCUUUGUUUUUUCACUCACAAUUUUAUUUCUGUUCUCACACCCCACCCUCCUUUACAUGAAUAUUAAGGACUAAAGCUUUAGCAACAGGCUUUUGGUUGUGGGGGAUCGAGGGGUAAAGGGAAAAGUGUUGUGUAUGGCUUUUCAUAUGCUAAUAAGGUGAUUCCAUGACAACCAUUGAAAAAAGAGGGGUUGGAAACAAAAGCUGCAGCCAGAGAGAGGAUCAGGGCUCUUUCAGGGACGCUGUAAGAAUAACAGCCAAGACUCCCUCCUCUGAAAGAUCAACAGAUUGAAAGAUUUGGUUGCAAAGGUCAGACACGGAGCAGAAGAUGGAAAGUGAACAAAGAGAACACACCUUUGAACGGCAGUGCAGGUGAUUGUUAUUUAAUGUUUCUUUCAGUCUGAGUUAGUUUAUAUAUACCUGCCUACAGAUGCUUUAACCAUUAACAUCAGUGCCCUCAAGGGUCUUUACAUGUACACAGUCUGAGGCCCAGAAAGGUAAGGUUACUUGUCUUGGCCCUGAGUCCAGGUGACUGUAAAGCCAGCCCUUGGUCUCAGGUCCCUAAGAGUAUGUCCACUGUGUCAAGAAAAAAAUGUUAAAAUGAGAUGAUCACAUGUACCAGAGAAGAGGAAUGGUCGUCAGUGAAUUAUAUUUCACAUCCAGACAUUGCUCUUUAACUUUAAAGUUCUACAAUUCUCAAAAAUUUAGGAGGCUCACUUGGUGCUAUAAGACUUAUUGACUAAAAAGAUUUUGAAAUCCUUAGAUAAAAGGUACUGCAUUAAAUAUUAAAAUAUUCUUAUUACAGAAUAGCUGCAUGAAGCUGGGAUGGGUUUGAAUUGGAUGUGCAUUGCCUGGUUAGUUGGCAGUCUGGUUAUUUGAGGAGAUUAUGUGUAUCUGUUGCAAUAGCAGGAACAGAGGGAAUGUUAGCCCUGGCACUAUAUUCUUAGAAUAAGCUCAAUCCAGACCUCUUCUCUCACUAAUUGUAAGUUUUACUUAUUUUCACUUUUAUUAAAUAUCUUUGUGUUUCAAGGUGAUAAUAUCAGAUCAGAGCACAUUAUAGUGAACAAAACACUCAGGUUGAUUAUUUCUUUCAAGAAUCUCAAAGUCUGUGAGGUAGACAGGUGGGUAUCACCACCUUCUCUUUAUGCGUAAGUACAGC
ensembl:lncRNA